rnacentral:rRNA from 1 species
GGGGAGUACGGCCGCAAGGUUAAAACUCAAAUGAAUUGACGGGGGCCCGCACAAGCGGUGGAGCAUGUGGUUUAAUUCGAUGCAACGCGAAGAACCUUACCUGGUCUUGACAUCCACAGAACUUAGCAGAGAUGCUUUGGUGCCUUCGGGAACUGUGAGACAGGUGCUGCAUGGCUGUCGUCAGCUCGUGUUGUGAAAUGUUGGGUUAAGUCCCGCAACGAGCGCAACCCUUAUCCUUUGUUGCCAGCGGUUAGGCCGGGAACUCAAAGGAGACUGCCAGUGAUAAACUGGAGGAAGGUGGGGAUGACGUCAAGUCAUCAUGGCCCUUACGACCAGGGCUACACACGUGCUACAAUGGCAUAUACAAAGAGAAGCGA